rnacentral:rRNA from 1 species
UACAGAGGUCUCAAGCGUUGUUCGGAUUCAUUGGGCGUAAAGGGUGCGUAGGUGGCGCUGUAAGUCGGGUGUGAAAUUUCGGAGCUUAACUCCGAAACUGCAUUUGAUACUGCGGUGCUUGAGGACUGGAGAGGAGACUGGAAUUCACGGUGUAGCAGUGAAAUGCGUAGAGAUCGUGAGGAAGACCAGUGGCGAAGGCGGGUCUCUGGACAGUUCCUGACACUGAGGCACGAAGGCCAGGGGAGCAAACGGG